rnacentral:lncRNA from 1 species
UUUUACGACGUGUUGACACGUGUCGAAGUCAUUCUCUACGCACCGUAUCAUUAAACAAUGGCGUCAUGUGCUUUUCUGUUUAAUGUUUUAUUGGGUCUGGCCCAAAAACCCACAACGUUGUCUCCCUCCUAACCCUAAUAUGACAGACGAAAACUCCUCUUCGUACGGCGGGAGGCUGUGACGACGCUUCUUCUCAUGACUGAAAAGGACUGUUGGUGCAACAGUUAAAUGGUGUGUUAGGAGAUGGGUUAGUAAGAACGACGUCUGCACUGGAUAAUACAACUACAAAUGAAAUUUGGUUUAUGAAUGCAUAGGAAGAACUAAUAGAAAUGUUCAGAGUGUUCGAUGUGACAGUUUCAUAUCUGCACUUGAGGUAAUAUUAUUUUCAAAUUCUUCUUUUUAAGUGUCAUACCAUGUAUAUGUAGUUCCUUAUUAUUUUUAACCAGGGAAGCUUGAAGAUCAUCAACCACCAUCCCUAUUUCAAAUGGAGUUACAGACAUAGACAGAUUCUCAGGUAUUGAUUGCUUAAACCUCCUCCUCAAUUCAUUUUCAUUCAUUUUAUUAGCUGUGAAUUUUUAUUUGUUUUGUUCCUAUGUGUCAGAAAGUAGUCGUCACACGUGCAUGAGGAGGUCAGAGGUCGAGAGAUCAGCUGGAGAAGAAAGAGAGAGAUCUAGGUUUGUCGAGUCAUAGUGAGAGGAGACAGCCUGUUGUGAAGAGAGGUUCUUUUUUUUUUUGAUGAAACAACAAUUGUAGCUAUAUUUUGUUUGCUAAUGGGUUUGGUCUGAAAUUUUAAAUAAUACUAGAGGCACUGUCAAAUUAAGUUCUCCUUUGAAAUGGGUUGCUUGAAGCUUCUAUUAUUGUUUCGUUAUGUAUUCCUCUGUUCUUGAGACAUCAAGAAAGUACAUGAUGCAACUUCCAGACAUUGUAAUUCAUUUUGCCCGUCAUUUAUCAAUGUAUGUUGGCGAGUCAUUCCUUGCAUGUCAUCAGGAAAGAGAACACAUCCUCAAAUUCCUUUUAGGCUGGUCAUUGGCGCAUUUGAGUGAGAUCCUUAGACUUUGGAAGCAAUGCAGCAAAGUUUGAGCUAAAACAGAGGAAUUAUCAAUAAGUGAUUUAAUAUUUUUUUCUUAACCUUUCUGUUUUGUUUAAUUUUUUUUUUACUUUUGUCAUAUUUUAAGUGAGGGACAUUUACGAGGAUCAUUGUACCUUCAGGUUUGAGGAAUAUAUUUAAUUUUCUUUUUGAUUGAAAUUCAAACCUAAAUAUGUCAGAAGUAACACAAGGUGAAUUUUUUUACAAGUAACAUGAUUUUCACAGAUGAGCACUGGUAAUACCAUUUAAUCUACAUAUGUACUAACAAAGAUCACACAUUAGAUCAAAUGUAAGUAAACAAACUGAGCACAUUAGCUCCUCGCACAAAAUAAGAUCACACUAUAGACACAUUAGUCUCAUUUCAACCACUAUAUAGGAAAAAUGGUUAGACGCGUACGAUAAUGACUAUGUGUUUCUAUCUAAAAAGAAAACACAAC